UACGUAGGAGGCGAGCGUUGUCCGGAGUUACUGGGCGUAAAGCGAGCGUAGUCGGUUAUUUAAGUCGGAUGUGAAAUCCCCGGGCUCAACCUGGGAAUUGCAUUCGAUACUGGAUAGCUAGAGUUCGGCAGAGGGAAGCGGAAUUUCGGGUGUAGCGGUGAAAUGCGUAGAUAUCCGAAGGAACAUCAGUGGCGAAAGCGGCUUCCUGGACCAGAACUGACGAUCAGGCUCGAAAGCGUGGGGAGCGAACAGG
rnacentral:rRNA from 1 species